AAAACAAUUAACCUCGCACCUAGAAAAAACAAAACCAUAAAUGAAAGAAAAAACAAAAACCACCCUAAACCAAACAGCAAAGCAAAACCAACUAAACAUCAGCCAAGUAGUUUAUUUAUCCUUUGAAGAGAAGAUCAAAACUAUGAACCAGAGGAAACCCAAAACUUUGAGACCAGCCAUGGAGAUUCAAAGAACCUUUUCCAUAUUCAAAGCGUUUUAUAGCAAACUUUGUUGUCUCUGUACCCAACCUCUCCGAUCCUCCUCCAUCAGCCGCUGGACAGAAACUGGAAUCUCAUCCACCCAAGAACCAGAACGAUUGCUUCUCCUUCCUUCCAUCGCCAGAAUCACCUUCCACCACCAGUUUUCGGAAGCCCUUAUCAAUGGCGCCCUUGCUUUAGCCAUGAAUGCAUCAACCACGUCAUUGAAAAGAUAAGUUGUUGCUCCUAUAUAGUCUCCUUUGUGAUCUUUGGUAAUAAUCGCAGAUGUAGAAGUCCUAGUAUCACUCUGAAAAGUAGCAUCAAAAUUUAUUUUAAUAAUAACACCCAAAUCUGGAGGACUCUAUAGUAUAACCGAUAACGAUCUGUAGACAACUCCCAUCUUUUCUUGAUACUGAUUUAAUUCCUUAAUAUAUCCACGGAAAAAACCUAAAAGAUCCUAUAGAGAAAACUUCAGACCCUCAUUAAUCAGUUUAUUUCUUCUGUUCCACAAAGCCUAUAUAGAAAUAGUAAUUAAAUGUUUGCUUUGGUUAUCUACUGCACAAAAAUUAUUAACGAAAAAGGAUUUGUAAUUCAUAAUACUAUCAAGUGAAACAGAUCGGAUUUGAAGAGACGCCCAAACAUUCUAAAGGAUAUCGCAGGUCCAUAGAAGAUGAUCCGUGUCUUCCGGUCAUUUCUUGCAAAUAGGGCAUAGAACAUCAACCUUUAAGGUCCUUUGUAGCAAAUUAUUGUAAUGGAGCAGAAAAUUAUUAACCAAUCUCCAUAGAUGUAUUUUGGUUUUUUCUGGAAUAUGUAAAAUCCAUAAGGACUUGUAGAAAUCCUUAUGAGCCUCAAAAUUAGGCGUGGUGUAAUUAUUGUCCUGUAAAUACUUUGUAACAAGGGCCCGAUAACCACUCCCAACAAAGUAAUCUGCAGAACCCUCAUAUUUCUAGACCAAUAUAUCCUCCGGACUAGCUAGAAAAUGGGAUGGGAAGAAUGCGGCUUACCUACUCUUCAUCAACAAAUAUUAAAAAUCAAAUCCCUGUUCCAGGUAUUUGUUGUUUCAUUAAUCAACUGAUUAACUGUCAUCUAA